GACGUAGGGCGCGAGCGUUGUCCGGAUUUAUUGGGCGUAAAGAGCUCGUAGGCGGUUUGUCGCGUCUGCUGUGAAAACUCGGGGCUUAACCCCGGGCCUGCAGUGGGUACGGGCAGACUAGAGUGCGGUAGGGGAGACUGGAAUUCCUGGUGUAGCGGUGAAAUGCGCAGAUAUCAGGAGGAACACCGGUGGCGAAGGCGGGUCUCUGGGCCGUAACUGACGCUGAGGAGCGAAAGCGUGGGGAGCGAACAGG
rnacentral:rRNA from 1 species